GACGAACGCUAGCGGCGUGCUUAACACAUGCAAGUCGAACGGAAAGGCCCUGCUUUUGUGGGGUGCUCGAGUGGCGAACGGGUGAGUAACACGUGAGUAACCUGCCCUUGACUUUGGGAUAACUUCAGGAAACUGGGGCUAAUACCGGAUAGGAGCUCCUGCUGCAUGGUGGGGGUUGGAAAGUUUCGGCGGUUGGGGAUGGACUCGCGGCUUAUCAGCUUGUUGGUGGGGUAGUGGCUUACCAAGGCUUUGACGGGUAGCCGGCCUGAGAGGGUGACCGGCCACAUUGGGACUGAGAUACGGCCCAGACUCCUACGGGAGGCAGCAGUGGGGAAUAUUGCACAAUGGGCGGAAGCCGGAUGCAGCAACGCCGCGUGCGGGAUGACGGCCUUCGGGUUGUAAACCGCUUUCGCCUGUGACGAAGCGUGAGUGACGGUAAUGGGUAAAGAAGCACCGGCUAACUACGUG
rnacentral:rRNA from 1 species